rnacentral:rRNA from 1 species
AUUGAACGCUGGCGGCAGGCCUAACACAUGCAAGUCGAACGAGUGGCGGACGGGUGUGUAAUGUCUGGGAAACUGCCUGAUGGAGGGGGAUAACUACUGGAAACGGUAGCUAAUACCGCAUACCAUCGGAUGUGCCCAGAUGGGAUUAGCUAGGAGGUGGGGUAACGGCUCACCUAGGCGACGAUCCCUAGCUGGUCUGAGAGGAUGACCGACCACACUGGAACUGUGACACGGUCCAGACGCCUACGGGAGGCAGCAGAGGGGAAUAUUGCACAAUGGGCGCAAGCCUGAUGCAGCAAUGCCGCGUGUAUGAAGAAGGCCUUCGGGUUGUAAAGUACUUUCAGCGGGGAGGCGUUACCCGCAGAAGAAGCACCGGCUAACUCCGUGCCAGCAGCCGCGGUAAUUC